GGCCUAAUGGCCCAAUGGCAAGGCGCUUGACUACGAUUGUCGGAUUUCCAGUCCGAACAACAAUUGCGCAUCAAGAGAUUCCAGGUUCGACCCCUGGUUAGGUCA